rnacentral:lncRNA from 1 species
CAAUACUCAUUCCCUAACCCAACCUAAUCUAAAAAGACCUAAGACUCCAAAUCUAAAGGAAGGAAGCUGGCGCCGCUGAUCAACACACACGACCCCUCCCCGUGUUCCUCAUCUUCUUCUUCUAACCUAGGCAAACCAAGACACAAGUUGAACCCUAGAACACCCUACAAAAUUGGUUGCCUUCUUUUUCUUCUUCAGCUAAGAUUCAACAAUGAAACCCUAACAGACCUAAGGGACGAAGCUACAGAUGCUGAACUCCAAGAACGACACAAAACCCUAGGAACCUAAAACCAGCAACCUGUUGCCGCCCAAUAGCCCUUCUUCACUCACAGCACGCCCAAAAACCAGUCCACCCCUGAAACUCUACGAUGCUGACCAGCCUUCCAACGACCACCAGAUCUCCACACCGCAAAAUCCACCAUAAAUGAUCCAUUAACACCACUUUCUAACCAGCUCCAAAACCUCAUACAAUACACUCCUAGAUAGCUCUAAAUCUCCAUGAAAAUUACUCCAAACCCAGCAUGAAACAACCUGAAAACAGCCUAUAAACAAGAUGUAGAACACCUCUAACUAGUCACAGAACUCGAGAGAUUUGUUUAGUUUUGCUAUUUGAGGUACCAUCAGAGGUUUACUGUCAAAGCUACGAUCGCCGCUCCGGUUCUGCGUCACUGUUUAUUUUCAGCUCGAUCUGGCUGACUUUUAAUUUUACGUCGAGGUUUUUGUUUGAGAUCAUGUUCGCGAUUCCGUAUAAUUUUCUAGUGUUUAAGGAAAUCAGACGACGCCUUUUGAGGUCCCUCUCUCUUUGCUUAUCCUUUUUUAUAUCAGUUUGUGUUUUCUUGCUUCUGUUAUAUGUCCUGUUUAAUUGCUCCUUCGUUCUUUCCUAUACAAGUAGUCCAUGAUUUAUAGUUAAAUGAGUUUAAUGGUUAUGAUGAAUUUGUUAUUUACUGUUGUAAAUAUUCAUUAAGAGGUAAAUGUUUGAGACUUCAAGACUGAUUUUUCUUACAUAAGAAUUUGAAUCAUUACUUAAUUAGGUAAGUUUGAAAACAAGUGUUAGUCUAUGGGGAUGGGGAAUGUCAGAUACAUGAAACGAAUAUUUUACUUUAGCUAUAUUUUUAAUUUCUUUAUUGAUUCACUAGGAGUAUGUUAGGUCGAUCACACUUGGGUAGACGAGCUUUAGAAUUUUGUUAGCUUUGUGGCGAGAGGUCGUUCCUUUAGUUAAAUUUAUCAAGGGAAUGCCUUGAAGGAUUUGUGUAUAUUUUAUACAGGGAAUACUCCGUAGUACUUGUAUUUGGAGUCCAAAAGUAGAACUUGUAGUAUUUUGUUUUUCUUUUAUUAGGAUGGGACGACCUCGAGCCCUUUUGUGUGUUUAUUUUUCUGUGUUUGUUUUACCUCAAUUCGAAUAUUCUGAAAGCCGAUUAGAUCAGGUAUGCAACCGUACUAGUUACGGGACUUAGGGAAUGUCUAACACCUUCUGCUCGAGUCAAAUGAACCCCCUUUCCUAAAAUCUCUGGUGCAAACUCAAUUUGGAGCCCGAAGUAUUUUAAAGGAGAAAAUCAUUUUAAAAAGGUUGACCUGACACAUCGAAAUAAAUGUCAGAUGGCGACUCUGAAUUAAUUCGUUUAAAUACUAUCUUUUGUCACUUUUUAAUUAAAACCCUUUUUCAAGCUUUGCGAAAUCUUUUUAUUAAUUUAAGAGGGUUAAGUAAAGUUUGUAAAAAAGGGGUGCGACAUCUCUGGUGACUUUGCUAGGGAGUUGCAGGUUCGAGCUGGUACUUGAUCUUGUUAGCUUUUAGGAUAUUCAAUUGAGGUGUUUGUUUUCUUUAUUUGCUUUGUUUAUGUGCUUUGUUUGUCUUAUUUCCUUUUUUGUUGGUUAUAUUUUUAUUUCUUUUCUAAAUGUGUUGCUGCUGUAUAAUCUGUCAAUAUUUGCAUAACCAUGCGUCUUCUUUUUGUAACAAGUUUCGGAGUACGUGUCACGUGCACGAACUGUUUGUUGAGCCACCCUUAAUUUAGGAGGGGGCGUCGAACGUUUGGAGUGGGUGAGAAUCUUGAGCAACCACCAUCGACCAUACGCUCCCCCAAAGUGCCUUGUUAGUGAACCCCGAAUUUAGGUCUGCCUUUAGAUCAUUUUUAUUUGCAUCAUGUCAUUUACAGUUAGUACGGCUCGGUCUGAGGCACCAUGUCUCUUUGUAUGAAGCUUAUUCAAAUUUUGUCAAAAAUAAACCCGUGGCGUGAAAAGACAUUCAAUCAUUCAUAUGUGAUACAGGUUACAUCUAUAAGGGUAAAAAGGUUAUUUGGCGGACCAAUAUUUGGGAAAGAAGGGUGAAAAUAAAGCAAGUAGGACCCAGUUAUAUUUUUUCACAUCUUUUCAAGAAAAACACAAAAAAAAUAAAAAUAAAAAAUUUAAAAAGAUUUUGCACUUUCCCAUUAUUUUAAAUAAAAAAAAUCCAAAAAGAUUUUACAUUUCCAUCAUUUUCCAAAAAAAAUUUAAAAAAAAAAGAAAAAGAAAAAGAAAAUCCAAAAAGAAGGUACAUUUUCCAUCAUUUUCCAAAAAAAUAGAAAAAAAAAAGAGAAGAAAAAAUCCAAAAAGAUUUACAUUUUUCAUCAUUUUUCAAAAAGACAAAAAAUAUAUUUUUUCCAAAUUAAUGUCAUUUUUUUAACUUUCUCCCAUAUCUAAUCUUCUCGAACUACGCGAACCUGAUUCUCGUCGUUCAGUGUGUGAUAUGUAGGUAACCCACAUAGGUUCCGGUCUUCCUAGUGAAUCUUAGGUUCUUGGCUUUGCGGGGUUUUAGCCAAAUCUUGCAUGUCUAGCCACUUUGGCCAUAUCGGCCCUUAUUACAAAAUGGGGUCAUUUUGCAAAAGUGGUUCAAUUACCCUUGUCUUAGGAUUUUGAGUCGAUAACUAGGUGUCAUAUUACUUUAAGGUCGUUUCAUUUUUAGUUUGCAUCUUUAGCCAUUCCUGGCUAUAUCGGCCGUUUUUGAAAAAUUGGUCAUUUUUGCAAAUUAGUUUUGGGCCAUGAUUAUUGAGAGUUAAAUCCAUAUAAGCAUUACUGAGGUAUUUUUCAUAUCUGAGUAGUCAUCCAUGUUAAGUUUUCACUUCUAGCCACUUUUGGCCACGUAGUUUAAUUUUCAAAAAAUAAUUCAAUCAUGUCUUGCAUGUGUCCAAUAAGGGGUGUUGUGGUAUAACAUAGUGUCUCGAGUCACUAAUCUAAUUGGUCUUAUUUUUCUCAUUCAGGUAAAAAUUCAUUUACCACAACUCGAGCAUAACGGAUAUCCCAGGACCACUGCAUUCAGGAGCUACUUGAGAAGUCUUUUUUAUAUUUUGAGCAUGUUUUUGAGUCUUUAAGGUAGCUUAAGAGUUUGUCUAGUCUCUUGUUAUCAUACUUCUUAUUGGCCCAAAAACAAAUGAAGUUUUGAAGAAUGACAAAUGAACUCAGUCAUGGACCAGGUCCAUCAUGUGAAGCACAGUCAUAAUCACUACACAUGUCAGAUGCACGUGAAGGAGAUAAGUCCCAUUGAUCAAGCCCAUAUCUCAUGAUCUGAUCGUAAGGUUGCAUAUUGGAUAAGGGAAGAAAGUCUCCUUACGUGAAGAGAACACAAUCCGUAUAAAAUAUAAUGUUGGAGUUUGAGAUGUUCAGGGACUCAACUUCGAUGGAAGAUCAGCAAUUGAGUCCCAAUCAAACUCUAAUUGCUAUCCCAUUAAAUAACAGUGAUUGUUCUCCUUUACAGGUAUUGGACAAACGCAGAAGUUAAUCUAAAUUGAGAGCAAAAGAGCAAGGCGAUCUUGCAAGCAAUUUAUGUGAGAUUUAGGUGUGCACUCUUGAAGCUACUUGAACAAGAUAGAAGAACCAAUUUCAUUUGUGUCUUUCUUUUAUUCUAGUUCAAUUGUAGUAAGUGGUUUAUAAUUUUACCUUUCAACUUUCAUAGAAGCUAUUGUAUUAGGUACUUAGAGUUUUCAAGUUAGAGUUAACUUGAAGUUCUUGCAACAGUUGAGGUUGUGUGCUACAAUGGGAUUAGAGUUAAUUCUUAGGUUUACAAAGAGUUUUUGUAAAUGCUGUUUUGGCUCAAUGAUUUUUGUGGAAGUUUGAGAAGAUCCUACUGAGUAGCAAGUCGUGGUUUUUUUACCUUUUGAGCCAGUUGUUUUCCAC